GAUGAACGCUGGCGGCGUGCUUAACACAUGCAAGUCGAACGGUGAAGCCAAGCUUGCUUGGUGGAUCAGUGGCGAACGGGUGAGUAACACGUGAGCAACCUGCCCUGGACUCUGGGAUAAGCGCUGGAAACGGCGUCUAAUACUGGAUAUGAGACGUGAUCGCAUGGUCGUGUUUGGAAAGAUUUUUCGGUCUGGGAUGGGCUCGCGGCCUAUCAGCUUGUUGGUGAGGUAAUGGCUCACCAAGGCGUCGACGGGUAGCCGGCCUGAGAGGGUGACCGGCCACACUGGGACUGAGACACGGCCCAGACUCCUACGGGAGGCAGCAGUGGGGAAUAUUGCACAAUGGGCGAAAGCCUGAUGCAGCAACGCCGCGUGAGGGAUGACGGCCUUCGGGUUGUAAACCUCUUUUAGCAGGGAAGAAGCGAAAGUGACGGUACCUGCAGAAAAAGCGCCGGCUAACUACGUGCCAGCAGCCGCGGUAAUACGUAGGGCGCAAGCGUUAUCCGGAAUUAUUGGGCGUAAAGAGCUCGUAGGCGGUUUGUCGCGUCUGCUGUGAAAUCCCGAGGCUCAACCUCGGGCCUGCAGUGGGUACGGGCAGACUAGAGUGCGGUAGGGGAGAUUGGAAUUCCUAGUGUAGCGGUGGAAUGCGCAGAUAUCAGGAGGAACACCGAUGGCGAAGGCAGAUCUCUGGGCCGUAACUGACGCUGAGGAGCGAAAGGGUGGGGAGCAAACAGGCUUAGAUACCCUGGUAGUCCACCCCGUAAACGUUGGGAACUAGUUGUGGGGACCAUUCCACGGUUUCCGUGACGCAGCUAACGCAUUAAGUUCCCCGCCUGGGGAGUACGGCCGCAAGGCUAAAACUCAAAGGAAUUGACGGGGACCCGCACAAGCGGCGGAGCAUGCGGAUUAAUUCGAUGCAACGCGAAGAACCUUACCAAGGCUUGACAUAUACGAGAACGGGCCAGAAAUGGUCAACUCUUUGGACACUCGUAAACAGGUGGUGCAUGGUUGUCGUCAGCUCGUGUCGUGAGAUGUUGGGUUAAGUCCCGCAACGAGCGCAACCCUCGUUCUAUGUUGCCAGCACGUAAUGGUGGGAACUCAUGGGAUACUGCCGGGGUCAACUCGGAGGAAGGUGGGGAUGACGUCAAAUCAUCAUGCCCCUUAUGUCUUGGGCUUCACGCAUGCUACAAUGGCCGGUACAAAGGGCUGCAAUACCGUGAGGUGGAGCGAAUCCCAAAAAGCCGGUCCCAGUUCGGAUUGAGGUCUGCAACUCGACCUCAUGAAGUCGGAGUCGCUAGUAAUCGCAGAUCAGCAACGCUGCGGUGAAUACGUUCCCGGGUCU
rnacentral:rRNA from 1 species